UUGAUUAUCUGGUAAUAUCAUUGCACCUUGAUAUUUGUUGAUCCUCUGUUGAUCCUUGAAAGAGGGAUGUGUUUUCCUCAUAAUCCAUUUGUUGAUGGAAUCAGAGUAUUUUGGAGGAACUCAUGAAAAGCCAUGAGUGUAUUGUCUUUGACCGAUACUUCAGUGGUCCUAAUGUUGAUUCAAACACACAUCCAUCUAUAUUGGUGUCACGACGGCAAACUUAUUGUACCGGUCACGGUUCAGGUAUGGGACUGUCUGGGCUCUCCAUUAAGGUCGGAUCUUGUUCGGGAACGUGUCGGUGAUGGAUCCGUAGGAGCGACCGACAUAAGUAGGUACAGGUGUCCGGGUCUUAGUGGGUAAAAGAGCUCUGCUCUUCUGGAACCUGUGUGGUUCUAGUCGAGGCUGUCGACGUCGGAGUACCCCUCUUAAGAGCGUAAAAGUGUGAAAUUUCACCCCUGUGACUCCCGGGUUGGGAAGCUUGCGGUCAUGUGUGACGCCAAUAGAUUCCUUGCUAUUUUUACUAAAUCUGGUAUUUUGUUCUUUUGUCCAUUUACAUCAAAAUACGAUUCCAAUGGUUGUUACAUUGUUAUCCUUUGAAUUCAGUUCGUCUGUUGAUCUACACCAUCAUACCAUUGCUCCUUAUUGAGUAGUGAAGUAUUUGCUUGCUGAGUAUGAUUUAUCGUACUCACCCUUGUCUCCUCCGUCUUUUUAGAUGCAGCCGAUGUAACUUAAGUAUGCCCAGAAGAUGUCAUCCAAGAAUAGGCUGGACCAGUGGGUGGGAAACGACUAGAGAUUUUAAUGUAUUUUGUCUAUUUGUAUAUGUAAAGAAAUUUCUGUAGUCAAUAUAUAUGAGCUUUUGUGAUCCACUGAUGGUUAAUGCUUAAUUAAUCACGCCUUGCGUGACUAUAGUCCUCCUGGUCUAUAGGCGCGCGGCGGCUGUCUCGCCUAGGCCCGGUCUCGGGGCCAAUGCUCCUGCUGCUGCUCAGAGCACAACUCCGAGAGAGAAUUAGAUACGAGAGGGGAGAGCAUGAGAGAGAAAGAGGGUAAGAGAGAUGAAGAAUUCAUGCAUGCGCAUACAUGUUUGAAGUGCUAUGGAGAGAGGUGUCGAGGCAUUCGUCUAAAGAAGAAUAUUAGCAUAUGUAUGGUUCAUCAGAUUUUAUACGAUGGGGUAUUACUUGCUGGCCGAAUAUUAUUCUAGAGGAGAAGUCUUAUUUUCUGAGGCAAGUAGCUACUUUACUAACCCUCAAAUGCGUUAUGUUCCUUUGAUUAUCUGAUUGUAUUGUUGAACCUUGAUCUUUAUUGAUCCUCUCUUGAUCCUUGAGAGAGGGAUGUGUUGUCCUCGUAUUCCAUUUGUUGAUGGAAUCAGAGUAUUUUGGAGGUACUCGUGAGAAGUCAUACGCGUAUUGUCUUUGACUGAUAUUACAGUGAUUCUACCGUUGAUUCAAAAACAUAUCCUAUUUUGUAUUGGUGUCACAACGGCAAACGUAAUAUACCGGUCACAGUUCAGGUAUGGGACUGUCUGGGUUCUUCACUAAGGACGGACCUUGUUCGGGAACAUGUCGGUGAUGGAUCCGUAGGAGCGACCGACAUCAGUAGGUCCAGGUGUUUGGGUCUUAGUGGGUACAAGAGCUCUGCUCUUCUGGAACCUGUGUGGUUCUAGUCGAGACUGUCGACGUCGGAGUACCCCUCUUAAGAGCGUAAAAGUGUGAAAUUUCACCCCUGUGACUCCCGGGUUGGGAAGCUUGCGGUCACGUGUGAUGCCAAUACCUCCCUUGUUCGUCUUUGAUUAUACUAUUUAUUUUACACAUCUCCAGCAAAAUAUGUUCCAGUGAUUGUUACCUUGUUUAUCCUUUGGAUUCAGUUCGUUUGUUGAUCUACAACAUUUUACCAUUGCUUUUGUUGAAUAAUGAAGUAUCUGCUUGCUGAGUAUGAUUUAUCGUACUCACCCUUGUCUCCUCCGUCUUUUUAGAUGCAGCCGAUGUAACUUAAGUAUGCCCAGAAGAUGUCAUCCAAUAUUAGGUUGGACCAGUGGGUAGGAAGUGACUAGAGAAUUUAAUGUAGUUUGCCUAUUUGUAAAUGUAAAGAAAUUUGUAAACCAAAUAUAUGAGAUUUUGUGAUCCACUGCUGGUUUAUGCCUGCUUUAUCAUGCCUUGCGUGACAAUAGGCCUCUGGUCUAUAGGCGCGCGGCGGCUGUCUCGCCUAGGCCCGGUCUCGGGGCAUGACAGUUAAAGUGAUAUCAGAGCUCUAGGUUUUUAGGUUGCACUGGGAUAAAGGGGUAGAUCGUCGAAUAUAUUUGUGUUGUGUGACAGCUAUGAAGAUUUUAUUUUCAUAUCUUGUCUCAACUAGUUUGUGUGUUGGUACUCAUGAAUAGUUUCAACAGAUAUCCAGGCAAAUAAAAAGAAUAGUGUACACAUUAUUGAUGAAAUUUGAGGAUGCAUGGAAAUAAAUAGACAUCUUGUUAGAUUAAUACAUGACUUAAUAUUUGUGUAGAUUUUCUUGUUUAAGACAACCGGUAAUAAUGUUCUAGUAAUGGGACAAUUGCUAUACCACUAUCUAUCCUUUUUGUUAAUGAAUUUACCAAAUAAAAUGUUUAGUGUUGCCAACUUAUGUUAUAGCAGAUAUAUCCAUGAAUUGUAGAAAGAUUGCAAAUCUUUUUUGCAUUAUUUUUAAUUAAUUAUUGAGCAUGCAUCAAAUAAACUGUUCCAAAUAUGAUGGGAUGGAAUUUGAUCACUAAAAAAACAUAGAUGUUAGUGUUGAAUUUCGGGGACGAAAUUCUUAUAAGGUGGGAAGGAUGUAAUAACCCAUAUUUUUGGGUUAUUGAUUUAAGUUAAGAUAAGUAAAUUUUUAUUAUUUUGUUAACAUAAAUAAUUGAGCGAAGAAGACAUGCUAGAUUAUUGUUGCAAGUAAUUAAAUAGAACUGUAAUUUUUGCAUGCGUAAAAUAUUAGAUGGAAAUGGACCAGGUACAAAUGAUAGAUUGGUAGAUAUUUCCAAGUACUAGAAUUCCAAGUCAACUAGGUGCAUGCAUGUCAUGAUGAGAAUGCACACGUAUGUACUGUUCUUGCUAGCUAAGUAAAAAAUCUAUGUGUACGUGGAGGUUGGCGUGGCAUGCAUGUAGUCUCUUGGACAUUCUAGUCCUAUACGUGGGCUCUUCCUAUGGUGCCAGGUUUGAUUAGGCCUUUGCACUAGAUGUAGGGGCAGCAGCCAAAUCAUUUUUUACCUAGCUUCAAGGGCCAAGGGUCAAGCGGCAAGAGUCACUGCGGCUGAGAUAUUUUAGCUAGUGACCGACUGUCAGCUCCUAUAAAUAGAACGCUCCUGCUGCUGCUCAAAGCACAACUCCGAGAGAGAAUUAGAUACUAGAGGGGAGAGUAUGAGAGAGAAAGAGGGUAAGAGAGAUAAAGAAUGCAUGCAUGCGCAUACAUGUUUGAAGUGCUAUGGAGAGAGGUGUCGAGCCAUCUGUCUAAAAAAGAAUAUUAGCAUAUGUAUGGUUCAUCAGAUUUUUAUACGACGGGGUAUUACUUGCUGGCCGAAUAUUAUUCUAGAGGAGAAGUCUUAUUUUCUGAGGCAAGUAGCUACUUUACUAACUCUCAAAUCCGUUAUCUUCCUUUGAUUAUCUGAUUGUAUUGUUGCACCUUGAUCCUUAUUGAUCCUCUCUUGAUCCUUGAGAGAGGGAUGUGUUGUCCUCGUAUUCCAUUUGUUGAUGGAAUCAGAGUAUUUUGGAGGAACUCGUGAGAAGUCAUACGCGUAUUGUCUUUGAUUGAUAUUACUGUGAUUCUACUGUUGAUUCAAACACAUAUCCUAUUUUGUAUUGGUGUCACGACGGCAAACAUAUUGUACCGAUCACAUUUCAGUUAUGGGACUGUCUGAGUUCUCCGCUAAGGACGGACCUUGUUCAGGAACGUGUCGAUGAUGGAUCCGUAGGAGCGAUCGACAUCAGUAGGUCCAGGUGUUCGGGUCUUAGUGGGUACAAGAGCUCUGCUCUUCUGGAACCUGUGUGGUUCUAGUCGAGACUGUCGACGUCGGAGUACCCCUCUUAAGAGCGUAAAAGUGUGAAAUUUCACCCCUGUGACUCCCGGGUUGGAAAGCUUGCGGUCAUGUUUGAUGCCAAUAAUUUCCUUGUUCAUUUCGUCUGUUGAUCUACACCAUCAUACCAUCGCUCCUUGUUGAAUAGUGAAGUAUCUGCUUGCUGAGUAUGAUUUGUCGUACUCACCCUUGCUUCCUUAUUUUUUUUAGAUGCGAACGAUGUAACUUAAGUAUGUUCAGAAGAUGUCUUCAUCCAAGACUAGGCUUGACCAGCGGGUGGGAAGCGACUAGAGAAUAUGAUGUCUUUACUCAACUAUUUGUAGAUGUCAAGGAAUUUGUAUAGCAAAUAUAUUAGCUUUUGUGAUCCACUUCUGGUCUAUGCCUGCUUUAUCAUGCCUUGCGUGACUAUAGGCCUCUGGUCUAUAGGCUCGCGGCGGCUGUCUCGCCUAGGCCCGGUCUCGGGGCAUGACAAUUAAAGUGCAUAUUUUGUAGAACGUAAUGUAUCGGUCAAAGUUCAGGUAUGGGACUGUCUGAGUUCUCCGCUAAGGACGGACCUUGUUCAGGAACGUGUCGGUGAUGGAUCCGUAGGAGCGAUCGACAUCAGUAGGUCCAGGUGCAACAAUAAAAUCAGAUAAUCAAAGGAAGAUAACGGAUUUGAGAGUUAGUAAAGUAGCUACUUGCCUCAGAAAAUAAGACUUCUCCUCUAGAAUAAUAUUCGGCCAGCAAGUAAUACCCCAUCGUAUAAAAAUCUGAUGAACCAUACAUAUGCUAAUAUUCUUCUUUAGACAGAUGGCUCGACACCUCUCUCCAUAGCACUUCAAACAUAUAUGCGCAUGCAUGAAUUCUUCAUCUCUCUUACCCUCUUUCUCUCUCAUACUCUCCUCUCUAGUAUCUAAUUCUCUCUCGGAGUUGUGCUUUGAGCAGCAGCAGGAGCGUUCUAUUUAUAGGAGCUGACAGCCGGUCACUAGCUAAAAUAUCUCAGCCGCAGUGACUCUUGCCGCUUGACCCUUGGCCCUUGAAGCUAGGUAAAAAAUGAUUUGGCUGCUGCCCCUACAGCUAGUGCAAAGGCCUAAUCAAACCUGGCACCAUAGGAAGAGCCCACGUAUAAGACUAGAAUGUCCAAGAGACUACAUGCAUGCCACGCCAACCUCCACGUACACAUAGGUUUUUACUUAGCUAGCAAGAACAGUACAUACAUGUGCAUUCUCAUCAUGACAUGCAUGCACCUAGUUGACUUGGAAUUCUAGUACUCGGAAAUAUCUACCAAUCUAUCAUUUGUACCUGGUCCAUUUCCAUCUAAUAUUUUACGCAUGCAAAAAUUACAGUUCUAUUUAAUUACUUGCAACAAUAAUCUAGCAUGUCUUCUUCGUUCAAUUAUUUAUGUUAACAAAAUAAUAAAUUUACUUAUCUUAAUUUAAAUCAAUAACCUAAAAAUAUGGGUUAUUACAUCCUUCCCACCUUAUAAGAAUUUCGUCCCCAAAAUUAAACACUAACAUCUAUGCUAUUUUUUUUAGUGAUCAAAUUCCCUCCCAUCAUAUUUGGAACAAUUUAUUUGAUGCAUGCUCAAUAAUUAAUUAUAAAAUAAUGCAAAAAAGAUUUGCAAUCUUUCUACAAUUCAUGGAUAUAUCUGCUAUAACAUAAGUUGGCAACACUAAACAUUUUAUUUGGUAAAUUCAUUAACAAAAAGGAUAGAUAGUGGUAUAGCAAUUGUCCCAUUACUAGAACAUUAUUACCGGUUGUCUUAAACAAGAAAAUCUACACAAAUAUUAAGUCAUGUAUUAAUCUAACAAGAUGUCUAUUUAUUUCCCAUGCAUCCUCAAAUUUCAUCAAUAAUGUGUACACUAUAUUUUUUAUUUGCCUGGAUAUCUGGUGAAACUAUUCAUGAGCACCAACACACAAACUAGUUGAGACAAGAUAUGAAAAUAAAAUCUUCAUAGCUGUCACACAACACAAAUAUAUUCGACGAUCUACCCCUUUAUCCCAGCGCAACCUAAAAACCUAGAGCUCUGGUAAACAGUUCCAUCUAGAGUCCAUUGCUUUUGUUGAAUAAUGAAGUAUCUGCUUGCUGAGUAUGAUUUAUCGUACUCACCCUUGUCUCCUCCGUCUUUUUAGAUGCAGCCGAUGUAACUUAAGUAUGCCCAGAACAUGUCAUCCAAGAUUAGGCUGGACCAGUGGGUAGGAAGCGACUAGAGAAUUUAAUGUAGUUUGCCUAUUAGUAAAUGUAAAGAAAUUUGUAAACCAAAUAUAUGAGAUUUUGUGAUCCACUGCUGGUUUACAAUGUAACAACCAUAGAAAUAACAAACAAGGAAACGAACUGAUAACCCUCCUUCUGCACACAUAUACUCAUAUUUUAGUUUAAGAAUUCAUGCAUGCAUCCACAUUUGAAGAAGAAUAGAGCGUUUAGGUGCUGCUGGAGGGAAGAGCCAAGCCAUACAUCAGAAGAAAUAUGAGUAUAUGUGUGUUCGUCAGAUUUUAUACAAAGAUGAUGGAGUUUCAUCUUCUUGCAAAAUAUUAUUCUAAAGAAGAAAUCAUAUUAUCUGAGGCAAGUAGCUGCUUUGCCUAACUCCCCGAUCUCGCUUUAUUGUUGUCUUCUUUGGUUAUCGGUUAAUAUUGUUGCACCUUGAUCCUUAUUGAUCCUCUCUUGAUCCUUGAGAGAGGGAUGUGUUGUCCUCGUAUUCCAUUUGUUGAUGGAAUCAGAGUAUUUUGGAGGAACUCGUGAGAAGUCAUACGCGUAUUGUCUUUGACUGAUAUUACAGUGAUUCUACCAUUGAUUCAAACACAUAUCCUAUUUUGUAUUGGUGUCACGACGGCAAACAUAUUGUACCGGUCACAGUUCAGUUAUGGGACUGUCUGAGUUCUCCUCUAAGGACGGACCUUGUUCAGGAACGUGUCGGCGAUGGAUCCGUAGGAGCGAUCGACAUCAGUAGGUCCAGGUGUUUGGGUCUUAGUGGGUACAAGAGCUCUGCUCUUCUGGAACCUGUGUGGUUCUAGUCGAGACUGUCGACGUCGGAAUACCCCUCUUAAGAGUGUAAAAGUGUGAAAUUUCACCCCUGUGACUCCCGGGUUGGGAAGCUUGCGGUCAUGUGUCAUGCCAAUAAUUUCCUUGUUCAUUUCGUCUAUUGAUCUACACCAUCAUACCAUCGCUCCUUGUUGAAUAGUGAAGUAUCUGCUUGCUGAGUAUGAUUUGUCGUACUCACCCUUGCUUCCUCUGUUUUUUUAGAUGCGAACGAGGUAACUUAAGUAUGUUCAGAAGAUGUCUUCAUCCAAGACUAGGCUUGACCAGCGGGUGGGAAGUGACUAGAGAAUAUGAUGUCUUUACUCAACUAUUUGUAGAUGUCAAGGAAUUUGUAUAGUAAAUAUGUUAGCUUUUGUGAUCCACUUCUGGUUUAUGCCUGCUUUAUCAUGCCUUGCGUGACUAUAGGCCUCUGGUCUAUAGGCUUGCGGCGGCUGUCUCGCCUAGGGCCGGUCUCGGGGCGUGACAGUUAAAGUGGUAUCAGAGCUCUAGCUUUUUAGGUUGCGCUGCGAUAAACGGGUAGAUCGCCGAAUAUAUUUGUGUUGUGUGACAGGUAUGAAAAUUUUAUUCUCAUAUCUUGUCUCAACUAGUUUGUGUGUUGUUACUCACGAAUAUUGUCGACAGAUAUCCAUGCAAGUAAAUAAUAUAGCAUACAUAUUAUUGGUGAAAUUUGAGGAUGAAUGGGAAAUAAAUACACAUCUUGUUAGAUUAAUACAUGACUUGUUAUUUGUGUAGGUUUUCUUGUUUAAGACAACCGGUGAUAUUGUUCUACUAAUGGGACAAUUGCUAUACCACUAUCUAUCCUUUUUGUUAAUGAAUUUACCAAAUAAAAUGUUUAGUGUUGCCAACUUAUGUUAUAGCAGAUAUAUCCAUGAAUUGUAGAAAGAUUGCAAAACCUUUUUUGCAUUAUUUUUAAUUAAUUAUUGAGCAUGCAUCAAACAAACUGUUCCAAAUAUGAUGGGAGGGAAUUUGAUCACUAAAAAAAACAUAGAUGUUAGUGUUGAAUUUCGGGGACAAAAUUCUUAUAAGGUGGGUAGGAUGUAAUAACCCAUAUUUUUGGGUUAUUGAUUUAAAUUAAGAUAAGUAAUUAAAUUUGUAUUAUCUGCUAAGUUAUGCUAAAUUCUUGAUUCAAAGAAUUAAGAUAGAGCUGUAAAUUUUUGCGUUUGUCAAAAUUAUUGUUCAUGAGUAUAUUUGUUGAAACAAUAAUUAGUAACAAUAAUGAUGUCCUAUUAGCAUACCAGCCGCAUAUAGAGCGGGCCCUGUCUACCUAGAAAGGUACUACUAACUCUAGUGCAGAAGGAGCAGCAACACCACAUAGAGAUGACACAACUAAACCAGUAUCAUGAGGCUUGCCGGCAGCAUGAGUUGGAGUAUCUUGAGCAAGAACAUGAUGACUGUGUUUAUGAGAUCAAGCAUGACCUCAAUCUCCAGAUAGAGGACAGGGAUCGUUGGCUCGAAAUAGAAGAACGCAAGAGUAAGAAACUGAAGCUGGAGCGUGAUCAGUUGGAGGAGUUGACCAACAAGCAGGAGAGCAAAAUCAUGGAGCUAAUGACAGAGAACAGAAGCCUCCGUGAGAAGCUGGCGGAAAAGCUACGGGCUGGCGGAAAAGCUACAGGCGCAUGAAUAGGAUGCGAACAGUGGCACUUGGAGAUGUGAAGCAAUUGUUCCUAGCUUAUAAAUAAAUGGUUGUAGUAGUAUUGUUUGUAUAUAACCUGCUAGGAACUGUUCUGGUAGUAGCCUUUUGACUAGCUAGCACUAGCUUUUGUUGACAACUCUAGUAGUAUGGGUGUCUAUAGUAGAGUGGUUGAAGGGAAACGUGGAUGGCAGCAACACAUCUAGUAGACAUGAUGUGUAAUUUUGAUUGUACUACUGCUUUCCUCUUUAUUAAUCAGCUACCUGGUAUAUAUGUAUAUGAUGCAUGCUCUAAUGUUGACAGCUUUAUUUAUUUCUUCCUCUAGUAUUAUAGAUGGCUAGUCACAAUGGAGAUUUCUCAGCAUCACACUCCGGCGAUGGCCGGAAUGCACUAGCAGCUGCAGCAGAGCAACCACUUCCAAAUGAGUUGCUUAUAAAUAUUUUGCAACGUCAAGAACAAACCCAAAUGAAGCAGACUGAAAUUCUGGAAUAUAUAGUACAACAGUCAACUAAAGGAAAGGAGUCGUUCGAUGGAGACAAACAGGGCGCAUUACGUGAGUUUCGUCGACUUAAGCCUCCUGUUUUCCAAGGUAGUGCAAACCCAAUUGAGGCCGAGGACUGGCUAACAGAAAUAGAGAAAAGUUUUGAUGCCAUGCAUUGCCCUGAUGAAGAGAAAGUUACAUUAGCCACGUUUACGCUUCAAGGUGGGGCAUUUGAUUGGUGGACAGUGCAUAAAAAGAAGUAUCCCGAGGGCUAUCUAUUCACAUGGGAAUCAUUUAAGGAAGAGUUCUACAGAAAGUAUUUUCCGGAGAGCGUACAAAGGAAAAUGGAGCUAUCAUUUUUACAGUUAAAACAUGACCAGAAAUCUGUCGUAGAAUAUGAAAUAGAAUUUUCUAGACUUGCUCGUUAUGCCUCUGUUUAUGUCCAAAAUGAUGAAGCUAAAGCUCGGCAUUUCGCGCAAGGACUUCGCCAACCAAUGAAGUCUCGAGUGGAGGUGUUCGAGCUCAAAUCCUUUCGAGAUGUUGCUAACAAGGCAUUAAUUGUAGAACAAGCAUAUGUGGAAGAGCAAGAUGAAGUGGAGCAGUAGCGUAAGAGGAUCAAGGUUGACCAUGGAAAUCAAGGGAAUAUACAGAAAAAGAUGCAGUAGAAUUGGCGUCCGAACAACCGCCCAGUAACCCAGCCUAGACGAAAUAACUGUGUUAUUUGUCAUGGGAAUCACACAGCAUUUUAGUGCGAGUAUCGUCAUGGGAAAUGUUUUAGGUGCGGCAGAGAAGGACACAUGAUCAGUCAGUGCCACAGUUCACCGGAUCAGAAUAUGUCAAAAUCCAUUGCACCAAAGCCGUUGCCAGCACCAAAGCUCCAUUAUACUUACCUGCACCCCCUACUAACUCAAGUGGAACCUCCCAGCGCAUGAAUAGUUAUUCUGGAAGCAGGAAGCAGACAAAUUCACGUGCAAAGGUGAAUCAUUUGACCCAGCAUGAUGCAGAUGAGGAAAACAAUGUGAUUACAGGUACACUUCAAGUAUGCUCACACAAUGCAUUCACUUUAUUUGAUACCGGUGCUACACAUUCAUUUAUAUCCUCAAAAUUCAUCGAUAGUCAUGGAUUAGAAAGUACCCCUUUAAGGAAAAGGAUACAUGUGGAAUCCCCGAUGACAGAAGUAAUAGCCAAGAACAUUUGUGUUGCAUAUCCUAUAGUAAUAAAAGGGCAAGAAUUUUUGGUUGAUUUAAUAGUACUAGAUAUGCAUGAUUUUGAUAUUAUACUGGGCAUGGAUUGGCUGGCUAAGAAUCAAGCCAACAUAGACUGUCAGAGAAAACGAGUGAUAAUUCAGGUACCUAGUCAGCGUAAACUCAUUUAUCAAGCGAAGCAUAAAACUUUUGACUGCUCGUUUAGCAUGAAUUUAGAACUGAAAGAAAAGGAUAUCAAAGAAAUACCAGUCGUAAGAAAUUUUCCUGAUGUUUUUCCAAGUGAAUUACCUGGAUUACCACCGGACCGAGAAAUUGAAUUUAGUAUAGACUUGACUCCUGGUACGGCUCCUAUCUCAAAGAGUCCGUACAGAAUGUCACCUGCUGAACUAAAGGAGUUGAAGAGGCAGAUUAAGGAGCUAGAAGAAAAACAAUUCAUUCGACCUAGCAUGUCACCAUGGGGCGCUCCGGUGUUGUUUGUGAAAAAGAAGGACGGCAGUUGGCGACUUUGUGUGGAUUAUCGGGAGCUAAACAAGGUAACUAUUAAGAACCAAUAUCCAUUACCAAGAAUUGAUGAUUUGUUCGAUCAAUUACAAGGGUGUCGAGUAUUUUCAAAGAUUGAUUUGCAGUCGGGAUAUCAUCAGUUAAAAAUAAAGGAUGGAGAUAUUUCAAAAACAGCGUUCCGCACAAGAUAUGGGAAUUAUGAGUACGUUGUUAUGCCAUUCGGAUUAACAAAUGCCCCCGCGGCCUUCAUGGAUUUGAUGAACCGAGUGUUCAGACCAUUUUUGGAUCAGUUCGUAGUUGUAUUUAUUGAUGAUAUUUUGAUUUAUUCAAAGACAGAAGAAGAACAUGCUCAACACCUAGAAAUAGUUCUUCAGAUAUUAAGGAAGCAUAAAUUAUAUGCAAAAUUGAAGAAAUGUGAUUUCUGGUUAAAUAAGGUGUCUUUUCUAGGACACAUUAUUUCAGGGGAAGGAAUAUCACCAGAUCCAACAAAAAUUCAAGCAAUAGUAGAUUGGAAGAGGCCAACCACCGUUACAGAAAUAAUAAGUUUCUUGGGAUUAGCAGGUUAUUACCGAAGAUUUAUUGAAGGCUUUGCACAGCUAGCAGCACCAUUGACACAGCUCACUCGAAAAGGGACAAAAUUUAUUUGGGAUGAAAAAUGUGAAGAAAACUUCCAAGAACUAAAGCAGCGAUUGGUGACGGCCCUUGUUCUAGCAGUGCCAAUAAGUGGAAUUGGAUUUACUAUAUUCUGUGAUGCUUCAAAAAUAGGCUUGGGUUGUGUGCUUAUGCAAAACAAUAAGGUAAUUGCUUAUGCUUCUCGACAGCUAAAGACACAUGAGAAAAAUUAUCCGACUCAUGAUUUGGAAUUGGGUGCUGUCAUCUUUGCAUUAAAAAUAUGGAGGCAUUAUUUGUAUGGAGAACGAUGUGAAAUUUAUACAGAUCAUAAGAGCCUGAAAUACAUAUUCACCCAAAAGGAAUUAAACAUGCGACAACCAAGGUGGCUAGAGCUACUUAAGGAUUAUGAUAUCAACAUAAAUUACCAUCCAGGUAAAGCUAACGUCGUGGCCGAUGCGCUUAGUAGAAAGACUGUUUGCAACAUGGCAUGUCUAAUUACUACACAAAGAGACAUUUUGAGGGACAUGGAGAAAUUGGGUAUAGAAGUAUAUGUACGUGAUUCAACUAGCACUGUUAUGGCAUUACAAGUCAAGCCUGAUCUGCAAGACAAAAUCCGGAUGAAACAAAUGGACGACCCAUUUCUUUUGAACGUCCGAAAGGGGAUAGAACAAGGGAAGCCAUCGGAGUUUCAUAUAAAAAGUGAUGGGUCAGUAUGGCUGAGGAACCGCUUAUGUGUCCCUAACCAGCCAGAUUUAAAGUUGGAAAUUAUGCAAGAGGCACACUCCACACCAUACACCGUGCACCCAGGGAGCAAAAAGAUGUAUCAUGACAUUAAAGGGAAUUUUUGGUGGCCCAACAUGAAGAGAUAAAUAGCAAAAUUUGUUUUAGAAUGUCCAAUAUGUCAGCAGGUAAAGGUAGACCAUCAAAAACCAGCCGGUCUUCUACAACCUUUAAAAAUCCCGACAUGGAAAUGGGAAGAAAUUAGUAUGGAUUUUUUCACGGGUGUACCUCAAACUUCUGCAGGAUAGGAUGCUAUAUGGGUCAUAGUAGACAGAUUGACCAAAGUGGCACAAUUUAUCCCAGUAAAGAAAACAUUUUCUCUUGAAAAAUUAGCUAAAUUAUACAUCAAGGAGAUAGUUGCUAAUUAUGGAGUUCCUGUCGACAUUACAUCUGAUCGAGAUCCGAGGUUUGUCUCAAGAUUUUGGAAAAUCUUACAUAAAGCAUUGGGAACAAAGUUAAAUUUUAGUACGGCGUAUCAUCCUCAAUCCGAUGGACAGUCAGAACGAGUUAUACAAAUAUUGGAGGAUAUGUUGCGAGCAAGUGUGUUAGACUUCAAGGAAAAAUGGGAUGAAUCACUUCCUCUGGUUAAAUUCGCAUACAAUAAUAGUUAUCAGUCAAGUAUUAAAAUGGCCCCUUAUGAAGCGUUAUAUGGCAAGAGGUGUCGCUCUCCAAUCUGCUGGGAAGAAAAUGGAGAAAGGAAAUAUCUAGGCCUAGAUUUAGUUCAACAUGCCGAGGAAAAAUUACGAAUUAUUUGUGAGCACCUAAAGGCAGUACAAAGUCGACAAAAGACUCAAGCAGAUAAAAAGCGCAGAGAAGUUGAGUUUAAGGCAGGAGAUUUUGUCUAUUUGAAAGUUUCUCCAAAGAAAGGGACAAGACGUUUUGGCCUACAUGGAAAAUUAAGUCCAAGAUAUGUCGGGCCAUUUCAAAUCAUUAAUAAAGUUGGAGCUGUCGCUUAUCGUCUGGAAUUACCCCCAAAUUUAUUAGGGAUACACAACGUGUUCCAUGUAUCCACUUUAAAGAAGUGUGAAUUCCCACCAAAAACAGUAGAAUUACCACUCACGGAGCUGCAGCCGGAUCUAUCCUAUGAAGAGCACCCAAUAAAGAUUUUGGAUGUAAAAUAUAGGGUAAUGAGAAAAAGGACCAUUCGGUUUGUAAAAGUUCAAUGGAGCAACCAUACAGAGGAGGAGGCGACUUGGGAAAAAUAAGAUGAUCUACACGCAUGUUUUCCGCAUCUCCAGUUUAUUGGUAAUUAAAUUUUGAGGACGAAAUUUCUAUAAAUAGGGGAGGAUGUAAUACCCGUGUUUAUUAGCAUAAAUAAGAUGUUUUAUUUGGUAAGUUAACAAAUUAGCAAAAUAUUGGAGUAGUAAUAAUCAGCUUAAUUAGACAAAUAAAUCAUUGGCAAUCAUUGGUUAGUACUAAGUAAGAGUAGUCAACUUGAAAGGAUAUGCAUUACAAGAACAUGCUUGUAGAACCUUCGGGUAGGAGGGCCAUGUGCGGGUGUGGUACAAGAUAUUUAGUAGCUCAAGUUUGCAUUUAUCUGUAGCAUUUAAUGCUCUAUUGAGUCAGCUAGGCAUGUGUAGUGUGAAAGUACAAACUGCUGUAAAACUAGGGACACCGAGGCUGCUGAGUUACACUUAUCCAGCUCCAUUUCCUACCCUACCAUGCCUAUAAAUAGAGGAGCAAGAGCACACUGUAGUAUUCAUCCCAACAUACAAACCAGUUCAGUAACUAGCAUUGCAUGGAGUAGAAUCACACUGACCGGCAAGAGCGCUCGGAGGAAGCAGCGAGUCAGGCAAGCAUGCAUUCCAUCUAGCCUUUCUAGCUGUCCUAUUCCUUGUUUGUCUCACUGUUCAUGCCAUGCUCUAUAGCUAGUAGUACUUCUGAAGCUCUAUAAUGUGCACUGUUCAUUUGAUUCCUGUACAUCUCUUGAAGCUAGCAUGCAUACCACAAUACUACCUUUUGGUUUAUGAUCACGAUGGAGAAAUCCUUAGUACAUGCAUGUGAGCAAAUGGAUUAAUGGCUCAUGCAUGGAUGGUUGGUUCUGUGAAAAGCCUAGUGAUAUUUAUUUUGGUCUUGCAUGUACUUCCUCUUGCUAAUCCUUGUCUAGUAAAUUUUAUAAAAUCUAGUAUCACGACGGCAAACGUAUUGUACCGGUCACAGUUCAGGUAUGGGACUGUCUGAGUUCUCCGCUAAGAACGCCACUCGUUCGGAAGCGUGUCGAUGAUGGAUCCAUAGGAGCGAUCGACACUAGUAAGUCGAGUGGGCGGUUCUUGGGGGAAUAGAGAGCUCUGCUCUACUAGCGCCUGUGUGGUUCUAGUCGAGGCUGCUGACGUCGGAGUACCCCUCUUAAGAGCGUAAAAGUGUGAAAUUUCACCCCUGUGACUCCCGGGUUGGGAAGCUUGCGGUCAUGUGUGAUGUCAGUUAUUUCUUUCCUUUUCUUUAAAUUAAUCUCCAUUAUCUUCCUCUGCCAACAAACUCUUUCUUUACAACUAACCCCUGUGUUCUGUCACUAUUUGCUGAGAGAAGUUCCUGUGUACCCGUGUGCUUGCUGAGUAUGAGAUCAUACUCAUUCUUGCUAUUGUUGUUGAUUUUGUAGAAGUAGCAAAUGAUGGAUGUGCUGAUGAGAAUGAGGAACAGUUGGAGUAGCUCUACGGGUUGGGAAUAAAUAAAGAAGUUGCAUGUAUCAUAACCUUUGUAAUAGCUAGUAAUGAAUAAAGUUGGCUCUUGUGCAUACUGGAAAAUAAUAUGUUUACUAGCCUAACAUGCUUAUAAAUUGGAGAUUUAUAAGCAUGUGGCGAUUGUCACUGCUAAGACUCACUUGGGGCGUGACAAUUUUAUUGGUAUCAGAGCUCUUGUACCCGCUAAGACACGAACACCUGGACCUACUGAACAUGGCUCUGAUACCACUUUAACUGUCACGCCCCGAGACCGGGCCUAGGCGAGACAGCCGCCACGAGCCUAUAGACCAGAGGCCUAUAGUCACACAAGGCAUGAUAAAGCAGGCAUAAACCAGAAGUGGAUCACAAAAGCUAAUAUAUUUACUAUAAAAAUUCCUUAACAUCUACAAAUAGUUGAGUAAAGACAUCAUAUUCUCUAGUCGCUUCCCACCCGCUGGUCAAGCCUAGUCUUGGAUGAAGACAUCUUCUGAACAUACUUAAGUUGAACAUACUUAAGUUACCUCGUUCGCAUCUAAAAAAACAGAGGAAGCAAGGGUGAGUACGACAAAUCAUACUCAGCAAGCAGAUACUUCACUAUUCAACAAGGAGCAAUGGUAUGAUGGUGUAGAUCAACAUACGAAAUGAACAAGGAAAUUAUUGGCAUCACACAUGACUGCAAGCUUCCCAACCUGGGAGUCACAGGGGUGAAAUUUCACACUUUUACGCUCUUAAGAGGGGUACUCCGACGUCAGCAGCCUCGACUAGAACCACACACUUUAACUGUCACGCCCCGAGACCGGGCCUAGGCGAGACAGCCGCCGCGCGCCUAUAGACCAGAGGCCUAUAGUCACGCAAGGCAUGAUAAAGCAGGCAUAAACCAGCAGUGGAUCACAAAAUCUCAUAUAUUUGGUUUACAAAUUUCUUUACAUUUACAAAUAGGCAAACUACAUUAAAUUCUCUAGUCGCUUCCUACCCACUGGUCCAGCCUAAUCUUCGAUGACAUCUUCUGGGCAUACUUAAGUUACAUUGGCUGCAUCUAAAAAGACGAAGGAGACAAGGGUGAGUACGAUAAAUCAUACUCAACAAGCAUAUACUUCAUUAUUCAACAAAAGCAAUGGUAAAAUGAUGUAGAUCAACAAACGAACUGAAUCCAAAGGAUAAACAAGGUAACAAUCACUGGAACAUAUUUUGCUGGAGAUGUGUAAAAUAAAUAGUAUAAUCAAAGACGAACAAGGGAGGUAUUGGCGUCACACGUGACCGCAAGCUUCCCAACCCGGGAGUCACAGGGGUGAAAUUUCACACUUUUACGCUCUUAAGAGGGGUACUCCGACGUCGACAGUCUCGACUAGAACCACACAGGUUCCAGAAGAGCAGAGCUCUCUAUUCCCCCAAGAACCACCCACUCGACUUACUAGUGUCGAUCGCUCCUACGGAUCCAUCAUCGACACGCUUCCGAACGAGUGGCGUUCUUAGCGGAGAACUCAGACAAUCCCAUACCUGAACUGUGACCGGUACAAUACGUUUGCCGUCGUGAUACCAGAUUUUAUAAAAUUUACUAGACAAGGAUUAGCAAGAGGAAGUACAUGCAAGACAAAAAUAAAUAUCACUAGGCUUUUCACAGAACCAACCAUCCAUGCAUGAGCCAUUAAUCCAUGUGCUCACAUGCAUGUACCAAGGAUUUCUCCACCGUGAUCAUAAACCAAAAGGUAGUACUGUGGUAUGCAUGCUAGCUUCAAGAGAUGUACAGGAAUCAAAUGAACAGUGCACAUUAUAGAGCUUCAGAAGUACUACUAGCUAUAGAGCAUGGCAUGAACAGUGAGACAAACAAGGAAUAGGACAGCUAGAAAGGCUAGAUGGAACGCAUGCUUGCCUGACUCGCUACUUCCUCCGAGCGCUCUUGCAGUCAUGUGUGAUGCCAGUUAUUUCUUUCCUUUUCUUUAAAUUAAUCUCCAUUACCUUCCUCUGCCAACAAACUCUUUCUUUACAACUAACCCCUUGUGUUCUGUCACUAUUUGCUGAGAGAAGUUCCUGUGUACCCGUGUGCUUGCUGAGUAUGAGAUCAUACUCAUUUUUGCUAUUGUCGUUGAUUUUGCAGAAGUAGCAAAUGAUGGAUGUGCUGAUGAGAAUGAUGAACAGUAGGAGUAGCUCUACGGGUUGGGAAUAAAUAAAGAAGUUGCAUGUAUCAUAACCUUUGUAAUAGCUAGUAAUGAAUAAAGUUGGCUCUUGUGCAUACUGGAAAAUAAUUUGUUUACUAGCCUAACAUGCUUAUAAAUUUGAGAUUUAUAAGCAUGUGGUGAUUGUCACGGCCGCCUAUAGACCAGAGGCCUAUAGUCACGCAAGGCAUGAUAAAACAGGCAUAAACCAACAGUGGAUCACAAAAUCUCAUAUAUUUGGUUUACAAAUUUCUUUACAUUUACAAAUAGGCAAACUACAUUAAAUUCUCUAGUCGCUUCCUACCCACUGGUCCAGCCUAAUCUUGGAUGACAUCUUCUAGGCAUACUUAAGUUACAUCGGCUGCAUCUAAAAAGACGGAGGAGACAAGGGUGAGUACGAUAAAUCAUACUCAGCAAGCAGAUACUUCACUAAAAUUGUCACGCCUCAAGUGAGUCUUAGCCGUGACAAUCGCCACAUGCUUAUAAAUUUUGAUUUAUAAGCAUGUGGCGAUUGUCACGGCUAAGACUCACUUGGGGCGUGACAGCCCCUGCCUGGAUCAAGUCUGUGAUGAGGUGUGUGACAAAUGUUUGUUAUGCUGUCAGAGUUAACGAGGAACUUACUGAUCCGGUGGUACCUUCUCGGGGUAUUCGCCAGGGGGACCCGAUCAGCCCCUACAUGUUCCUCUUAUGCACUAAAGGUCUAUCUAGUCUGCUUUUUCAGAAGGAGUGUCGUGGCGAGCUACAUGGGAUCAGAAACUGCCGUCAAGGUCCACCUAUCUCACACCUCCUAUUCGCGGACGAUAGCAUUUUCUUUGCAAGGAGCGAUCACCGUAGUGUGGCCUCGCUGGCAUCGGUUUUACACACAUUUGUGAGGGCUCUGCCCAAUCUAUCAACAAGGAGAAAUCUUCAAUCUUCUUUGGAAAUCACUGUCCGGAUAGUGUCAAGAAUAGGGUUAAGUCUCAGCUUGGAGUCUAUAAUGAGGACUUUCAUGGAUCUUAUCUUGGGAUGCCCACGGAGGUUGGAAAAUCUCCUACUAGCACUUUCAAAAUUUUGACUGACAGAGCAUGGCAGAAUAUUUUUGGAUGAUGCGACCGACCUUUAUCUAGGGCUGGAAAUGAAACACUGCUAAAAUCAAUUACACAUGCCAUCCCAACAUUUGUCUCCAGCUGCUUUCGCCUUCCUGUCGCAACGUGUGAGAAGUUUUGCCAAAUUGUGGCCGAUCAAUGGUGGGGUCGAGAGGAUGGAAAGAGGAAGCUACACUGGAGGUCUUGGGCUUGGCUCUCGACCCCAAAGUCGCUUGGUGGUAUGGGUUUUCGGGAUAUGGUGUUGUUCAAUCAGGCAAUGCUUGGUAAGCAGAGAUGGCGGCUCUUCACUUAACCUGAUUCGCUUUGUGCUCGUGUUCUGAAGGGCAGAUACUUUCCGACAGGGGACUUUUGGAACACCACGAUGCCACGAACUGCCUCGGCGACCUGGCGUGGUAUCCUAAAUGGCCGGGACUUUCUCAAACAAGGGGUUCAGUGGGGCAUUGGUGAUGGUAGGAACAUACGCAUUCUAUCUGAUCAUUGGAUCCCAUCAACAUCACCGGCCCGACUGCAUCCUCUGUUCCCCAUUCCAGUAACCGCCACUGUCCACUGUCUUCUAGACGAGGUGAACGGCUCUUGGGAUGUGGAGACCGUGAGAGCUUUCUUUCCUGAGAGAGUGGCUGAUGAUAUCCUUCCGAUUCCAGUUAACAGAUUCAAGGGUCCAGAUUUUGCUCGUUGGCCUUUUUCCAAAUUUGGAGAGUAUUCGGUCAGGUCUGCGUAUAACAUGGUAAGAACGACCCGUUUCUUGUUGGCUCGGAGUGGCAAUGGCCUGGGUCAGAGCUCGACCUGGUCAGAAGAAGAAAAGCUAUGGAAGGCGUUGUGGCGAGUCAAGGCACCCAACAAGAUGAAGAUUGUCCUAUGGCGAUUGGCUCAUGAUUGUCUACCGUCAGGGGAGCAGCUUCUUCAUCGCCAGAUCCCGACUAGAACAGAUUGUUGUUUCUACGGCAGAUCGGAGAGUGUGGAGCACGCGCUGCUCUUCUGCCCCCAUGCGCGGGCGGUCUGGGAUAUGAUCAGGGAGUGCUUCGAUAUUAAGCUCUGUCGGUCCUCUUUUGCAUCUCCUAAACAAUGGCUCUUUGACUUUCUCUCCCGCUUCUCCGAUCAAGAAGCGACAAUCUUGACUGUGUCGGUUUGGCACAUAUGGGAGGCACGAAAUGCUGGAAGGAUGAACCUGUUGCUCCUCAUCCGAGGCACACAGCGGCUAGGGCCCGAGCUUACAUCGAGUUGAUCUUCCAACACCUGUACAAACCUGUGCCUGCACUUAGGCGUGAGACCUCUACGUCAAGCCCUCUUUGGUCUCCCGCCGCCGCAGGGCACGCUGGUCGCCUUCUCAGAUGCUGCUAUUUCGGUGGAACUGAACAAAUCUGGGUUUGGUGUGGUAUUUUUGGAUCAUAUGGGUCACUGUGUGGCGUCUUGCUCUAAACUUGUGAAAGGUGUGUUGGAUCUUGAAGUGGCCGAGGCCAUGGCGCUCCGUCGAGCUGUCCGUUUGGCUAGAGAGGAAGGAUUGGCUGAUGUGCUUUUCAAGUCAGACUGUCUCUCAGUGGUGCAGCGCAUGAAAUCUCCAGCCAUGGAUCGUUCAAUGAUGGGAUCUGUGUUGGCUGAGGUCAAGGUAGUGGCUAAUGGUCUCCACUUUGCGUCGUUUUUGCAUAUACGUCGGCAUAUUAAUGUUUUAGCUCAUGUCUUACCUAGAUCAAGCUUGUUUUCUACUAGUCUUUGUAUUUCUCAUUCUGCUCCGGAUUACAUCAACUCUUUGUAAGUUUGUUUUUUGAUCAAUAAAGACCGACGUUCUAAAAAAACAAUUCGGUUUGGAGGCGUGGCCAUCGCAGCCUUGCACUGUGCCCACGAUUAGAAAACUCGCUGACCUCUUCUAGAUACAUUGCAUACAUUCGCAAAAAGAGUAUACGUUGCAUACGUAGUCCGAAGAUGGUAAAUAUGUCUAGACUAUUUCUCCCGACAGGUACUCCCUUCUUUUCGAAAUAUAAGUUAUUUUAGGGAUUUUAAUAUGAACUGACAUAUUUUAGAGUAUACAUCCACUCAUCUUGUUCUGUAUGUAAUACUCCCUCCGUUCCUAAAUGUAAGUCUUUUUAAAUAUUCCACUACAAACUACAUAUGGAUGUAUAUACACAUAUUUUAGAGCAUAGAUUCACGCAUUUUGCUUCCUAUAUGGAUCAUAGUGGAACCUUUAAAAAGACUUAUAUUUAAAAACGGAGAAAGUAUAUAUUAAAAUCUCUGAAAGAGACUUGUAUUUAGAAACGAAGGGAGUAUUUCCAAACAAAGCGAGUAUCUUGGCCGCAACCGCAGCUAGCGGACGACGCCGAUGAUGUUGAGACGCCAUCAAACCCAGCGAGAGGGCAGUUGCGUGGGAUCGACGUAAGUGGCAUUAUGACAAAGCUGUCAAGGUGCAACUGCUUCUCCCGCCGCACUGUUACGGAUGUCACGGGGGGCAUAGCUAGUUAAGCUACGGGAGAGUGGAACCCAGCCCACGCACCGUUGUUGAUCCUAUCUCGCCGAGAGUCGCCGGCUCCGGCCACAGGCCGGGCAGCCGGGCAAGCUUCGUCCUGCAUGCGAUCGAUGCAUGCAUGGACCACUUAGCCACUCGAUCGGUCGGAAUUAAGCGAGCCACGGUACGUUGAGCUAGCAUGAUUGGCAGAAGCAGGGCGCCCCUCACGUCGCAUGCAGCCAUUAAGGCCCUGUACAAUGAAAGGUGCUUAGGGGAGAUGCUUAGAGAAAUAAAUCAGGCUUUUCUUAAGUAUCAGUGCUUAUUUGUACAUGAUAGACGUUUAACUAAUCGUCUCUCCUGUAAAAAUAGGCACCGGUGCUUCAAAAAAACCCGGUUUAUUUUUUAAGCAUCUUUCUAAGCACCUUCCAUUGUACAAGGCCUAACAGUGACACACUAGCUGCUCCUCUCAUGUCGUGCGUGUCUGCAUGUGCAUCGUGUGACCACAGGGCAUGAUAUGGAUGCAAACUUUUGUUAGGCAGAUCAGAUGGCUCUAGUCGCUCGUAUAGAUAACCAAGGGAGGGAGCUCCACAUGAGAUGUUUAUGGCGCCUUAAUCGGGGUGUUAGGCUGCUCCGGCAAAGCACAGCACCACUGCUGAACGCCUGCGACGGUGGGUCUGCCCCCACGUGAUAUUGCUCUCUAGCUUCUCUUUGUUGUGUGUGCCCAGCCUCAAUAAUCCAUUUUUUCUGAAAUCUUAUCCGCUUAUCCCUUACCCAUGAGUGACCGGGUCGUGCUGAGCAGUAUCGUGCGGACGUACUAAUGGAAAUUGUUUAGUGUGCUACAUAUAUCUUGGUCCGUGCUUGAAUUAGUUGUGCAUAGUUUAUCCUAAAUGCUGCGCAGCAUUUUUCUAGCCAUCGCGCGCGAAAGCUCUUCCUGCCUUCGAUCACCUAGCACGAAUCACGAUGCAAAGCUGAUGUCAGGUCGGUUUUUUGAAUUGUUCGCGCACGCGUCUGAAUUGAGCAAACGAAGUUCAGCUUGGAGCAACUCCAAUGCGCCAAUCCAAACAGCCGCCAAUGCGUCCAACACACCGAUCAUAUUUGCCGGCGUGGCCGGUUGGCCGCCUUUUUUUAACAAAUAUGCGCACAUUUUGCAUAGUUUCACAACUAAAUAAACAUAAUUUCACAAUCAAAUAAAGCAUAGUUUGACAACUAAAUAAAUUUAGCAUGGUUUUACAAGCCGGAUAAAAAUUAAAUUGUCUCAAAUACAUGUGAAAAAAAGAUACAUCUAUUGGUUGCCAACAUGAGCCCACAUAUACUCAACAAAAUCAUUUUGCAGCUGCAUGUGAGGUUUUUAAUCACGCAUUUCAUUAUGAAAUUGUGUGAACUGUGCAAAAGUGGUCGCUCCUCCAUAUUCAGGCACAACAUUCUCACCUAAAACUAAAACCUUGAUCGUAGGUACGUUCCGGGCGCUUAUCCUCCACGAUUAUAUUGUGCAUGAUCACACAAGUAGUCAUCACCUCCCACAACUUCUUUGUUCUUCAAGUCCUAACAGGAUACCGAACGAUGCCCCAAUGAGAUUGCAGAACACCAAAGGCACGCUCAACAUCCUUCCUAGCACUCUCUUGCUCUUGGGCAAAUAUUUUCAUCUUCUCUCAGACAGGGUUGGGGAUUGUCUUCAUAAUAGUGGUCCACUGAGGAUAGAUACCGUCACCUAGGUAGUAUCCAUAGUCGUAGUUGUGCCCGUUGAUGGUAACAUUCACCAGCGGGUUGUUGCUUUCGACAGGCCUUGCAAACACGGACGAGCGUUGAAGCACGUUGAUACCAUUAGGUGAUCCCGCCAUGCCGAAGAAAGAGUGACAGAUCCAAAGAUCUUGUGGCCACGGCCUCAAGUAUGACACAGCAAACCCUGGCAUGGCACUUAUACUGCCCUUGCCAAGUAGAAGGUGAAGGAAAUAUGCCCUAGAGGCAAUAAUAAAGUUGUUAUUUUAUAUUUCCUUAUUCAUGAUAAAUGUUUAUUAUUCAUGCUAGAAUUGUAUUAACCGGAAACUUGAUACAUGUGUGGAUACAUAGACAAAACACCAUGUUCCUAGUAAGCCUCUACUAGACUAGCUAGUUAAUCAAAGAUGGUUAAGUUUCCUAACCAUAGACAUGUUUUGUCAUUGGAUGAACGGGAUCACAUCAUUAGAGAAUGAUGUGAUGGACAAGACCCAUCCGUUAGCUUAGCAUAAUGAUCGUUCAGUUUUAUUGCUAUUGCUUUCUUCAUGUCAAAUACAUAUUCCUCCGACUAUGAGAUUUUGCAACUCCCAGAUACCGGAGGAGUGCUUUGUGUGCUAUCAAACGUCACAACAUAACUAUAAAGAUGCUCUACAGGUAUCUCCGAAGGUGUUUGUUGGGUUGGCAUAGAUCAAGAUUAGGAUUUGUCACUCUGAGUAUCGGUGGGGUAUCUCUGGGCCCUCUCGGUAAUGCACAUCAUAAGAAGCCUUGCAAGCAAAGGGACUAAUGAGUUAUUUACAGGAUGAUGCAUUACGGUAUGUGUAAAGAGACGUGUCGGUAACGAGAUUUAACUAGGUAUGAAGAUACCGACGAUCGAAUCUUGGGCAAGUAACAUACCGAUGACAAAGGGAAUAAUGUAUGUUGUCAUAAGGUUCGACCGAUAAAGAUCUUCGUAGAAUAUGUAGGAGCCAAUAUGGGCAUCCAGGUCACACUUUUGGUUAUUGACUGGAGAGGUCUCUCGGUCAUGUCUACAUAGCUCUUGAACCCGUAGGGUCCGCACGCUUAACGUUUGUUGACGAUAUAUUAUUAUAUGAGUUAUGUAUGUUGGUGACCAAAUGUUGUUCGGAGUCUCGGAUGAGAUCACGGACAUGACGAGGAGCUCCAGAAUGGUCUGAGGGUAAAGAUUCAUAUAUUGGAAGAUAUGGUUAGGCCAAGGGGUUUGGCCCAUGGGGAUAUAGGUCGGUGCAAAAGAAAGUUUUGCGGAGGUCAGAGGCCAAACGCCGGAGACCAUGGCGUCUGGCCCUGGGCCAGACGCCGAGGCCCAUGGCGUCUGGGCCAGACGCCAAGGAUUGUGGUGUGUGGGCCUGGAGUCCGAGUGGGAUUCCUGCCUUUCGGGCAAAACCGACUUUGAGGAGGCUUUUGCUCCAAGUUUCGACCCCAGGGCUCAACAUAUAAAUAGAGGGGCAGGGCUAGCACCAAAGACACAUCAAGAUUCACCAAGCCGUGUGCCGACAACCCCGUCCCCUCUAGUUUAUCCUCCGUCAUAGUUUCCGUAGUGCUUAGGCGAAGCCCUGCGGAGAUUGUUCUUCACCAACACCGUCACCAUGUCGCCGUGCUGACGGAACUCAUCUACUUCCUCGACACUCUGCUGGAUCAAGAGUUUGAGGGACAUCAUCGAGCUGAAUGUGUGUAGAAGUCGGAGGUGCCGUACGUUCGGUACUUGAUUGGUCGGAACGAGAAGAAGUUCGACUACAUCAACCGCGUUGUCAAACGCUUCCGCUUUCGGUCUACGAGGGUACGUAGAUACACUCUCCCCAUAUCGUUGCUAUGCAUCUCCUAGAUAGAUCUUGCGUGAGCGUAGGAAUUUUUUGAAAUUGCAUGCUACGUUUCCCAACAGUGGCAUCCGAGCCAGGUCUAUGCGUAGAUGAUAUGCACAAGUAUAACACAAAGAGUUGUGAGCGGUGAUUGUCAUACUACUUACCACCAAUGUCUUAUUUUGAUUCGGUGGUAUUGUUGGAUGAAGCGGCCCGGACCAACCUUACAUGACCACGUUCAUAAGACCAGUUCCACUGAUAGACAUGCAACUAGUUUUGCAUAAAGGUGGCCGACGGGUGUCUAUUUCUCCUACUUUAGUUGAAUCGAAUUUGACUGCAGACGGUCCUUGUUGAAGGUUACAACAGCAAACUUGAUAAAUCACCAUUGUGGUUUUGUGCCGUAGGUAAGAACGGUUCUUGCUAGAAUCUCGUAGCAGCCACGUAAAACUUACAACAACAAAGUAGAGGGCGUAUAACUUGUUUUUGUAGGGCAUGUUGUGACGUGAUAUACGUUGUUGUAUGAGAUGAUCAUGUUUUGUAGAAGUUAUCGGCAACUGGCAAGAGCCUUAUGGUUGUCGCUUUAUUGUAUGAAAUGCAAACGUCAUGUAAUUGCUUUAGUUUGUCACUAAGCAGUAGCGAUAGUUGUAGAAGCAAUAGUUGGCAAGACAACCAUGACGCUACGAAGGAGAUCAAGGUGUCAAGCCGGUGACAAUGGAGAUCAUGACGUUGCUUUGUAGAUGGAGAUCGAAAGCAAAAGAUGAUGGUGGCCAUAUCAUGUCACAUAUUUUGAUUGCAUGUGAUGUUUAUCUUUAUGCAUCUUAUUUUGCUUAGUACGGCGGUAGCAUUAUAAGAUGAUCCCUUAACUAAAUUUUAAGGUAUAAGUGUUCUCCUCGAGUAUGCACCAUUGCAACAGUUCUUCAUGCUGAGACACCACGUGAUGAUCGGGUGUGAUAGGCUCUACGUUCACAUACAAAGAGUGCAAGAUAGUUUUGCACAUGUGAAAUACUCGGGGUAAACUUGACUAGCCUAGCAUGUACAGACAUGGCCUUGGAACACUCUAGACUGAAAGGUCGAACGUGAAUCAUAUAGUAGAUAUGAUCAACAUAGAGAUGUUCACCAUUGAUGACUUCUCCAUCUCACGUGAUGAUCAGACAUGGUUUAGUUGAUUUGGAUCACGUAUCAUUUAUAUGACUUGGGAGAUGUCUAUCUAAGUGGGAGUUCUUAAGUAAUAUGAUUAAUUGAACUUAAUUUAUCAUGAACUUAGUCCCGAUAGUUUUUGCAUAUCUAUGUUGUAGAUCAAUGGCCCGUGCUACUGUUCCUUGAAUUUUAAUGCGUUCCUAGAGAAUGCUAAGUUGAAAGAUGAUGGUAGCAACUACACGGGCUGGGUCCGUAACUUGAGGAUUAUCCUCAUUGGUGCACACAAGAAUUAUGUCCUUCAUGCAUUGCUAGGUGUACCACCCCCCUCCCAACACCUGCAGACGUUGUGAACGCCUGGCAGUCGUGUGUUGAUGACUACUCAAUAGUUCAGUGUGUCAUGCUUUACGGCUUAGAAUCGGGACUUUAAAGACGUUUUGAACGUCAUGGACCAUAUGAGAUGUUCCAGGAGUUGAAGUUGAUAUUUCAAGCAAAUGCCCGAGUUGAGAGAUAUGAGGUCUAUGAUACGUCUCCAACGUAUCUGUAGUUUUUAAUUGUUCCAUGUUAUUAUAUUAUCAUUCUUGCAUGUUUUACAAUCAUUUUAUAGUCAUUUUAUAUCAUUUUUUGGUACUAACCUAUUGACAAAGUGCCCCGUGCCAGUUGUUGUCUUCUGCUUGUUUUUUACAUCGCAGGAAAUAAAUAACAAUCGGAGUCCAAACGCAGUGAAACUUUUUAUGGAUUUUUUUGGACCAAAAGACAUCCAGUGGGCAAAGAAAGUAAUCUGUUAGUCAGCCCAAGAAGGCUAUGAAGAAGAAAUCUAUUGUGAAGCCAUCUUCUUCUGCAAUGCCCUCACGACCUAGCUCCUCAUUGCCCUCAUGGCCCAGCUCCUCAAAGCCCUCAGCUGCACCUACAAAGUUCUCAGCACCAGUGCAUCUUACCACGUGCCAAAGGACUACAUGCUUUUCAAUUGCUUCAGGAGCUUCAGCAAGUUCCUCAGCACAGCCAUAGCUGCUGAAGAAAAAGGUCACUGCUAGACGCGGCACAAGGCCAAGUCCUCACAAGAAGCAGGUCGCUUUUGAAGUACCAUCAUCUAAAGAUGAUGCUCAUGAUGAAGAACUGGCUCAAAUCAUCAGAGACCGACAAAACCGGGACGCUAGUGCCAAAGGUAGUGUCGUGCCGCUCUUGCUGGAUCCGAAGAAGAUCCUUGACUACACCGACCUUUGGCAUAAAGAUCCCAACACACCUCUCUCCUAUCUGAAGCUCACACCAGGCCAAAGUCACGUGUUGACUGCUUUCAUUGCUGAAGAAAAAUGGAAGUUUGAGAAGAAAGAUCAGUGAAGAAAGCUCAGUACAAGAAGGAGCAUUAUCUGAAGAAAAAUGUUCUAAAAAUGACGACUGAACAACUUGUAACUAUUUAGUCUGAAAUCAAAGCUCUCAAUGAUGAAUUUGACGCAUACAAAGCUGAUUGGCUAGGAGCCAAAGCCAGAUUCGUCAUGCUGGCUAAAGGCCUCAAGCCCAAUGUUGUUGCUGAAGCGCAACAAGAAGUUCCUCAGGGUGAAGCAUCUGCUCAACCCACUGAAGAACAUGCCAGCACCACUGAUGAAACUUAGGCUGCUGAAGAAACUGAGAGUGCUAGGGCUGAUGAUGCUAUUCCAGCCAACGUUGUGCCUAAAGAAAUUGUGCCUCUGUCAUCUGCUUCCCCUGCAAAAUCUUCAGAGAUGAAAAGCACUCUCCUUCCUUUUGCAUCAGAAGUGAAGAAAACCAAGGCUGUCGAAAGGGCAUCAGCUAAGAAGAGGAAAGCAUCAGACGCCUCAGAGUCUUCAGCUCCGAAGAAAGUGAAGACUUUGACGAGCUCUUUUGAGAAUCCCAUUGAUGUUGUUCCACUAAAUGCCAUGCCAUCAAAGGAAAUUGUUCCCUUUGGUGAAGAAUAUGUCAUCGAUGAUGACAUUGAUGAAGGUGAUCCAUCUGCUGCUACGUCAGAGCAGUUGGAUGAAGAAAUUGAAGUGGAUGAUAUCCCUUCAUCGUUACAGGUAUCAUCGCCGCUGCCUUAGUUCACUACUGAAGAGGUCGGUGUUGAAGAAGUUGAAGCUAAAGAAGAGGAUGUGGACAUCGGGUCUACGACUCCAGUGAUGAAUGACGAUUAUUGGGAAAGUCAUCAUCCAAAUUCUCCUCUGUUCACUCCUUUGCAAUAAAUUCCUCAGUCCCCCGUGCACACUGAAGUAAUCCACUCGGGUUCUGAUCACGGCCAAGCUUCUCUUCACUCCAUCCCUGAAGAAAUUCCGGCCACUAGUGCUGAUGAGAUUGAAAAAAAGACAGCAGAAGAAACUGCUCCUAAGAUUCCUCAGCCAGAGGUUGUGCUUCAAGCGGCUGUGAAGACUUCAACUAUAAAUCUUCAGCCCAAGCCACAGGAUCCUCACUCCAAGAAGCAGAAGUUCAAGGCUGAUGAUUUCUUUGCUGAACACCAUUUCUUCUCUGAUUUCAAUCCCUAUGACACUGCUCGCCUUUGCCGCAAGCGCUUCUGGACUGCUUCCCGGAUGAACUUCUAUUCAACACUGCUAUUUGGCAAGGACAAAAGUGUUUGACCAUAGGCAAAUUCCACAUGUGGAUAUGGAGUCACUUCCAUGCUUUACUCCAGUCCUCAGUGUUCUUCAUGAUGCAAGGAUGCUCAACUUUUGCACAGACAUAUGCGACUGGAAUGAAGAACUAAUUCUUCCGUUCUAUGCCACUCUGCAUCUGACACGCAACGUUGACAUGUGAAUUCAUGGGUCUUGGACUGGAUAACUGAAAAUACUCAUCACAAACCUCUGGCCUCUGAAUUGCUUCAUGUCGUCCCAGCCAUUUUGCCCACCGAAGGAGCACUGAAGCUAUAUGAGGAACCUGAACUGUCAAAUCAUCUGAUGCAUGUGCUGAUGAAGCCUUUGAAGCCUGGCCAAGCGCCUAGGACUGUCUAUCACAUUAUGGCCAAAACCCUCAGUCCCAUUAAGGGACACAACUCUGAAGAAGAAGAAGUUGUUGGCAUCAUGAAGAACUUGCUUUGCAAUAUCAUGCAUGGUAUUCCAAUCAACUAUCAUGAUUUCUUCAUGAGGACUUUGGCUAAUGCUGCUUUGUCACCCUUUGAGUUGAAGCCUUACGCUCCCUGGAUCAUGAAAUUCCUCAGAUCAAGGACUUCAAUUCAUUACAAGGCUGACUUUCAGAAUCAUCUCAGUUAUUUGCCCCCGAUUGAAGUCCUCAAAUGGACUAUUUCCUUCGUUGAUGAGAAGGGCAAGGCUGCAGUUAUUGAUGAGGGCACACAUCCUUUGGAUGGACAAUUUCGAAAGGCAGCACCCUACUCCACUAAUGAUGACUCUGCCACAAAUGACACUGUUGCAAAUGCUUCAAAGUGAAAUCCUCAGGCAACAGCUCCGCAUGUGAUGACUGAUUGUGAGCUGCUCCUAAGUCUUCAUCAGAAGGUGGACAUAAAUCACAAUUGGGUCAAGCGUCAGUUUGGUGCAAUCCUUCACAAGAUGAGAUUCACUCAAAAUACCGUGAAGAAGAAUCACUAUUAUCUGCAUCAAGUCUUCGAUCGCACCUGGGCUAUUCUCUCAUAUGUCUACACCGAUGAUGAACUCAAGAAGAUGGACUUACAUAGGACUUUGACUGGUCUCAGUCACCUUCGAAUAAAUUCAAGAAGGUCAAAGUUCCUCCGCUGGUCGUCAGCUCCUAUUCUUCAUUGCACGAGAUGGACGAAGCUGAAGAUUUGGCUGACACUGCAGCAGGCCCUACUACAACGGACGACCCCAACAACGCUGGCGCUCCUCCAUCGACAUCAUGAUGAUAUUCUUCAGGGUGUUUGUCCUCACUUUUCGUCCCUUUUGGUCAUUUGAUGACAAAGGGGGAUAAAUUUGAGUUAGUCUUCAAGCGGGUCUAUAUAUGGGCGUUUUUUGCUAAGUUACAACUCUCGCUCUUCUGAAGUAUUUGUCGGAUCGAGUUGUAAACUUAAGUCCUAUGGUGGCCUAAUACUUUUGCUCUAUUUUUCUGCACGCUAUUUCCUCAUAUAUGUGAAUGCACGCAUGGUGAAUUACAUCAGUCACCAUAUUUCAUCAUGCAUUUCAAAUUCUUCAUUCGAUAUGUUUAAUGUGUGUAUGAAUUACAAGAUAUAGGGGGAGAUCUACAUGAUAUUACUCUACAGUGUGCAUUGCUUAUUGAAAGAAAAUUCCUCACAUAUGCACAUAGGGGGAGUUCUUCUAUAUCUUGCAAUCAAAUUUCUCAAUACUGAGCACUUUCAAUUGAUAUGUUUAUCCCUGUUGAAAACUCAACCUAUUUGUCAUCAAUCACCAAAAAGGGGGAGAUUGUAAGUGCAUCUAGUGCCCCUUAGUGAUUUUGGUGUAUUGAAGACUUAUAUGUUAAGGGACUAAUAUGUUUGUGAGUGUACACAGGCUCUAUAAGUCGAUGAGGGGUUUGAUAUUUACGAUGAAAGUCGACCCCUAAAAAUGUAUGUCUUCAGCUGAAGACUUUGGUUCUCCUGAAGAUUUUGAAAGUGAAGAAAUUGGUGUGACCUUGAAGACUUGGAUAUUCAUGCGAGGAUUAUGAAGCGUGAAGACUUUUGUUUUCGUAGUUUCAUUUUCACUUUCUUGAGUCAUAGGAAAGACCGUACUGUUAAAGGAGGUCGAGGCAAAACUAAGGAAACUGAUUUCCAAGUGAUGCUCAUCUCAAAAUCCUACACCUACCCAAUCCUUUCGAGUGAAGCCAUUGGAAAUCUCAUAUCAGUUCAGUCAAUUUCUUCAGUGACAAAGAUGAAGAUCUUCUGGUCUCUAAGGAAUUUGUUCUGAUUGAGGAGUUAGGAAUUCACCAGUGUGGAUUGCCUACACAGUGAUGAACAUGAUAGCCCUGGGGAAUUCGAACCUUAAAUAUCCGACCGUUGCUGUGCUAUGCGCCAGCUAUCCAAAAUAUCUACCAACCUAAUGGUCAUAUCAUUGAAGGGCAUUUAUGUCUUAUCAUGUCGGGCUGUUACCUAGGCUAUAAAUAGCUACCCCCUACAACCACUAGCUAGUUGGCUGCUCCGCGAGAAACUGACACUUGUCAUUGAGAGCAUCCCAUCCUCCGAGGACUUUGAGCGAAAAUCAUCAAGUGAGGAAAACCCAGAACCCAAAACCAAACACCUACAAACCCAAAGUGAUUAAGCAUCAUUGAAGAGAUUGUUCCUGUGUGGAACCGACGGUUGUUACCUUUGAGGACUGUGUAUCCUCCAGACGGUUAGGCGUCAUGGUCUGAGCAUCCAAGAGGAAUUGUGGAUCAGCAAGUGACCUAGUUUGUGAAGGUUUGAAAGUCACCUGAAGACUUACCACGAGCGUUGGGCGAGGUCUGUGUGACUUUAGCUCAAGGAGAAUAUAGUGAGGACAGUGUCCGGGACUGUGUGUCCUUGAGUUUAAAUACUCAGCCGCUCCAACCAGACGUACAACUGUCACAACAGUUGGAAGUGGUCUACCAAAUCAUUGUCUUCACCAAGCCUAUUGGUUCUAUUUCCUCAACCCUUCCAUUUCCUCAUUCAUGUGUUGAUGAACUUGAUCAUUACUGUUUGAAGACUUUGACUGAAGAGUUUCUCUAUUUCCUUAAUCCAAUCUCUUCAGUCACAUAGUCUUCAUCCUGCUUAUCUUGUUUUCACGCUAUCUGUACUUUGUGCUUGUUUUCAUUUCAUCAUGAUGACUAUGUUGCCACUCUGUUAUGCUUAUACCUGAGUACUUAUUCCGCUGCUAGUGUGUCCUUGCUUAGGAAUUUCUUCACCUAGAAAUUCCUCAGUGACGAAUUUGUAAAAAUCGCCUAUUCACCACCCCUAGUGUCGAUAUAAUGCACUUUCAACAAGACUCUCUCUUUGUGUGGUGUGAAUAGUUUUACUUUUUUUCAUUUUUUUCAUUGAGGGAAGUGCAAAUUAAUUUGGUACGUACAAUAUUACACGUUAGGCUUGUCCCUAAAAUUCAACCCGCGCCUAGUUAUAUCAUGAAAAUUCAGAUAUCGUGCUCCCAAAACUCGCGCCUUCACAGCCCGCACCUUGCUAUCCCAAAAUUACAACGUGCGUGAAAACUCCCUCCAACCGCCAAAUCCUGACACGCGAAAUCCCCCUUCUAACCCUGAGCUGAAAGGGCUGCUAGUUCAAAUUGAUGGGGGUACUUUUGUAAUACACCCUACAUUUUGGACAAGCGCGUCCCUAAGUCAUGGUUCCCCCUCCCAUCGCCUCCUUUUCGCCAUUCGAAAUCCCAGGCCACCAUAACCUCUCUACUCCAGCCACGAAACCCGACCCUCCUCCAUUCACCACCUCACUGCUGCCCAGCUGAAGCCUCUUCCCUGACAACAUCGUCCGCCACACAACUCGACGUCCCUCAUCCACCUCCCCGGAUGGGGAUCCGCCAUCCAGCCGGUUCAGCCACCACGUCCUCCACCUUCAAGGAGCUGCUCCGAUGAUCGCCUUGUCUAUCACGGCUGCUCCAUCCCCACAGCUCUGCCUUAACCUGCUCCACCGGAACCGCAACAUCCUCACUGACUCCUCAGACGAAGUCGAGGCCUACUCGGUGCCACCAAAGAGGUUGUACACUCACCGCAUCGCACCUUCUCCUUAACUCGACCUCCCCGCACCGAUGGUGCUCCAUCUCGCACCCCCAUGGCGGGGCUACCUCGAAGCCGGCACCGUGGGCGACAUCUCCAUGGCGGCUCUACCCAGUGCAAGGCCCCUUGGGUGGUGGCGUCCAUACCAGCCGGAUCUGCUGCUACUGCUCCAGCUCUCGCUCGCUCGCUCGCGCUACUGCUGCUCUGGCCCUUGCUCACUCGCUCGCGCUACUGCUGCUGCUCCGGCUCCCGCUCGCUCGCGCUGCUACUCUACUCUCCCCCUCGCUCGUUCUACUGCUAUGCUCUUGCUCUCGUCGCGCUGCUGAUGCUGGUACAUGGGCUGCUGCAGCUACACAAGUUGCUGCUCUGGCUCUAGUUUGCGCUGCUCCUCCAGGCACUGCUGCUCCGGCUGCUAUUUGCUACUGUGUUCCCCGUCGAUCGCCUGCUGAUUUAGAUAAUUGUUCCUCUACUACUAGCGCUCGAGCGGCCUUAAACUACAUGUGAAGUGCCUCUCUGCAACUAGUGCGUUCAGUUUUGACAGUAACAUUUAGAUUCCAUAGUAAAUUUUAAUUUUGACAGUUAAGUCCAGUGUCAACAGUUUUUACCUCAUCUAUUGUAGUCAGGUGUUUUUUGGUGAUGUAAAUUUUACAUCUAUCACUUUUUGGUAAUGUAUUUUACAUCAUCUAUUGGAGAUGCUAUUAGUAUCCCACUUGAGAUUAAGGAUGUCUGUCUUGUACUGCUUCAGCCUCGACGUCUUACGGCUCGCCGCAGCUGCUCCAACAACGGAACCAUCCAUCACAACAGAGUAGUGCCCUGGACGCUGUCUACAGAUUCCUUAGAUCUUCCUCCACACCUUCGAUAGCCACCUCUGCCUCAACUUCUUCGGCGACCAACCCAAUGAUGUCGAGGUCGACACGGCUACGACAAAGAGGUCAUGCACUUGUCGCAUCACUUAUUACUCUACCUUCAUGUCCAUCCAUUAGGGCUAUUUUGGUUCAAAGGAAAAACUGAAGGAAAAAACAUAGCAAUAGAAAUUUUUCCUGUGGCACUCUAAUAUUCAAUUAUUCAUGCAUUUUUUGAAAGAAAUGGAGCAAAACAUCCAUCUGGACCUAAUUUUCAAAAUCCUAUGCAUGAAAACAAGAACUCUGCCUAUGUUGUCUCAACAUAGCCGGUCCCAAGCCCGGGUAAAGGAGGAGGGUUGUGAUAGGCUUGGCGAGCCAACGUAAAAACUCAGCCACUCUUAUGGAGAUGAAACCCAAAAGAUUUUCGUUGGGGCGUAACCCUCUCAGGGACGCGCCACAUCGGAACCCGGGUGUGGUGGAAAAUGGGCAAGGGCCGGGCCGUCACCCCCCAAGUGGCGCACCGUAUCUUGAUCCGGAUACGGUGGCAAGUGAGCGAGGAUCGGGUCGUCGCAUCCUUAGUGGCGCGCUACAUCGGCGCCCGGAUGUAGUGGAAAAUGAGCAAGGGUCUUCGCAUUUGACUCGACGAGUGCGAAGGGUAAGGAAGCUAGCCGAGCCUAGGAGGAUUCGCUUAGGUAGCUGGAACGUAGGGUCUCUAACAGGGAAGCUUCGGGAGCUAGUUGAUGCAGCAGUGAGGAGAGGUGUUGAUAUCCUUUGCGUCCAAGAAACCAAAUGGAGAGGACAGAAGGCGAAGGAGGUGGAGGAUACCGGCUUCAAGCUGUGGUACACGGGGAAUGGCGUAGGCAUCUUGAUCAACAAGAGCCUCAAGUAUGGAGUGGUAGACAUCAGGAGACGUGGGGACCGGAUUAUCCUGGUCAAGCUAGUAGCUGAGGACUUGGUUCUCAAUGUUAUCAGCGCAUAUGCCCCGCAAGUAGGCCACAAUGAGAACACCAAGAGGGAGUUCUGGGAAGGCUUGGAAGACAUGGUUAGGAGUGUACCGAUUGGUGAGAAGCUCUUCAUAGGAGGAGACCUCAAUGGCCACGUGGGUACAUCUAACACAGGUUUUGAAGGGGCGCAUGUGGGCUUUGGCUAUGGCAUCAGGAAUCAAGAAGGAGAAGAUGUCUUAAGCUUUGCUCUAGCCUACAACAUGAUUGUAUCUAACACCCUCUUUAGAAAGAGAGAAUCACAUCUGGUGACUUUUAGUAGUGGCCAACACUCUAGCCAGAUUGAUUUCAUCCUCUCGAGAAGAGAAGAUAGGCGUGCGUGCCUAGACUGUAAGGUGAUAUCUGGGGAGAGUGUUGUACCCCAGCAUAAGCUGGUGGUUGCUGACUUCCGCUUUCAGAUCGUGUCCAGCGGGAUAAGCGUGCCAAGGUUGCUAGAACGAAGUGGUGGAAGCUCAAGGGGGAGGUAGCUCAGGUGUUCAAGGAGAGGGUAUUUAAGGAGGGCCCUUGGGAGGAAGGAGGGGAUGCGGACAAUGUGUGGAUGAAUAUGGCGACUUGCAUUCGUAAGGUGGCCUUAGAGGAGUUUGGAGUGUCCAGGGGAAGGAGAAGCGAAGAUAAGGAUACCUGGUGGUGGAAUGAUGAUGUCCAGAAGGCGCUUAAAGAGAAGAAAGAUUGCUUCAGACGCCUAUACCUGGAUAGGAGUGCAGACAACAUAGAGAAGUACAAGAUGGCGAAGAAGGCCGCAAAGCGAGUUGUUGGUGAAGCAAGGGGUCGGGCAUAUGAGGACCUCUACCAACGGUUAGGCACGAAGGAAGGUGAAAGGGACAUCUAUAAGAUGGCUAAGAUCCGGGAGAGGAAGAAGAGGGAUAUUGGCCAAGUCAAAUGCAUCAAGGACGGAGCAGGCCAACUCUUGGUGAAGGACGAAGAGAUUAAGCAUAGAUGGCGGGAGUACUUCGACAAGCUGUUCAAUGGGGAGAAUGAGAGUUCUACCAUUGAACUGAAUGACUCCUUUGAUGAGACCAGCAUGCGUUUUGUGCGGCGCAUCCAGGAGUCUGAGGUGAAGGAGGCUUUAAAAAGGAUGAAAGGAGGCAAGGCGAUGGGCCCUGAUUGUAUCUCCAUUGAGGUGUGGAAAGGUCUCGGGGACAUAGCGAUAGUAUGGCUAACCAAGCUUUUCAACCUCAUUUUUCGGGCAAACAAGAUGCCAGAAGAAUGGAGACGGAGUAUAUUAGUACCAACCUUCAAGAACAAGGGGGAUGUUCAGAGUUGUACUAAUUACCGUGGAAUUAAGCUGAUGAGCCAUACAAUGAAGCUAUGGGAGAGAGUCAUUGAGCACCGCUUAAGAAGAAUGACAAGCGUGACCAAAAAUCAGUUUGGUUUCAUGCCUGGGAGGUCGACCAUGGAAGCCAUUUUCUUGGUACGACAACUUAUGGAGAGAUAUAGGGAGCAUAAGAAGGACUUGCAUAUGGUGUUCAUUGACUUGGAGAAGGCCUAUGAUAAGAUACCGCGGAAUGUCAUGUGGUGGGACUUGGAGAAACACAAAGUCCCAGCAAAGUACAUUACCCUCAUCAAGGACAUGUACAAUAAUGUUGUGACAAGUGUUCGAACAAGUGAUGUCGACACCGAUGACUUCCCGAUUAAGAUAGGACUGCAUCAGGGGUCAGCUUUGAGCCCUUAUCUUUUUGCAUUGGUGAUGGAUGAGGUCACAAGGGGUAUACAAGGAGAUAUCCCAUGGUGUAUGCUCUUUGCGGAUGAUGUGGUGCUAGUUGAUGAUAGUCGGACGGGGGUAAGUAGGAAGUUAGAGUUAUGGAGACAAACUUUGGAAUCGAAAGGGUUUAGGCUUAGUAGAACUAAAACCGAGUACAUGAUGUGCGGUUUCAGUACUACUAGCUGUGAGGAGGAGGAGGUUAGCCUUGAUGGCCAGGUGGUACCUCGGAAGGACACAUUUCGGUAUUUGGGGGCAAUGUUGCAGGAGAAUGGGGGUAUUGAUGAAGAUGUGAACCAUCGAAUCAAAGCCGGAUGGAUGAAGUGGAGCCAAGCUUCUGGCAUUCUCUGUGACAAGAGAGUGCCACAAAAGCUAAAAGGCAAGUUCUACAGGACGGCGGUUCGACCCGCAAUGUUGUAUGGCGCGGAGUGUUGGCCGACUAAAAGGCGACAUGUUCAACAGUUUGGUGUGGCAGAGAUGCGUAUGUUGAGAUGGAUGUGUGGCCACACGAGGAAGGAUCGAGUCCGGAAUGAUGAUAUACGAGAUAGAGUUGGGGAAGCACCAAUUGAGGAGAAGCUUGUCCAACAUCGUUUGAGAUGGUUUGGGCAUAUUCAGCGCAGGCCUCUAGAAGCUCCAGUGCCUAGCAGACGGCUAAAGCGUGCGGAGAAUGUCAAGAGAGGGCGGGGUCGACCGAUUUUGACAUGGGAGGAGUCCGUUAAGAGAGACCUGAAGGAUUGGAGUAUCGACAAAGAGCUAGCUAUGGACAGGGGUGCGUGGAAGCUUGCUAUCCAUGUGCCAGAGCCAUGAGUUGGUUGCGAGAUCUUAUGGGUUUCACCUCUAGCCUACCCCAACUUGUUUGGGACUAAAGGCUUUAUUGUUGUUGUUCUAUGCAUGAAAACAAGACCAAGUGCAUUAGUGGCAGAAUAACAUUCUAACUGUACACGCUUUCAUACGGUUUCAGUUUAAUUUGGCCAUGUUUCUAUGCAUUCCUCUGCUCUUCCAAUUCCUGUGAACCAAACACCCAAGUUGACAAAAAUCAUGUGUUUACAAAUGCUCUAUUACCCACGUGCAUUCCUAUCCUAUUCCGGUGUUUUUCCAAUCCCUGCAUUUUUAGAAUCCUGCAAGCCAAAGGAGCCCUAACAAAAUUACUUCAGUUACAAGUAGGUGUCGAAGAAAACUUUGUGUGGUUUGGCCUGCUCCUACCGCGAUGUCGUCCACCUCACCUGAGCUGCUCCAUCGACAGAAGCAUCCAGCAAACCAGACAUCAUGACUCCUGACCGUCUUUCGCCGCCUCAGAUCUCCUUCGCUGCCGCCGACUCCCACCACAACGGCAUCACCAUCAUUGACUCAGCAGAUGAACCUGAGGAGUACACGGGUCCACAAGAGAGGUCACACUGUUUUGUUUCUGCUUAUAUUAUGCAUUGCUUAAUAUUACCUGCUACUUUAUCAUCAUGUUCACCUCUUAGACUCCAAGUCAGGUCCAAAUUAAUAUUCAAACUUGAGUUUUAAAAUUAGUUGUGGGGUACAUAUCAGGGCAGCAAUGAAUAGUAUCUCUAUCUAUUAUCUGGCACAUAUCAAGUUAGCAAUGAAUAGUAUAUUGGCAUAUGUUGUUCAUCUUGGAUGGGAAAGAAAUAGUAAAGCAAUCAUCAUCUGUCUUUUUAUUAAAUUAAAGCUAUCAUCAGCCUGCUAUCAUUAUUUUUGGAUCCAUCCACUGGUUGUUACCAUCACUCUAGAUUUCUGCAUGCUCUCCUUACAUAAUCUCAUUAUAUUUUUUGUAUGCAUGUCAGAUAUUUUACACAGUUGUGCUGAACAUGUAGAGAAAAAGAGAAGAGUUUUGCGUGGCAAUACGAUGUCAUGCAAACAUCGCUCCAUGGUGGGUUCAAUGGCAAACCCUCCCCCCUCCCCAGAUUGUAAUCCAAAGGAAUAUAUCUAUUCUGAGGCAGAUUCAGACGUUGACCACUCCUAUUUAACCCCAAGGUGUUUGCUCUAACUUGGCAUGAUGAUGUGAGUCAUAUCAUGCAUACGUUGCCUUGCAGUGCCUACUUUCGACAUCAUGUAUGUCAUCUUCUUAGUUUAGAGAUGUUCUGUAAUGCCGCCUAUUUAGUUUCUAUAUCAUAUAUGGAAAUUAUGCAGUCUCAUCUCUUUUAUCCAGCCAUAAUAUAUGUGAAAAAUGCAAUGCCAUCAUGUUUAACCAAGCAUCAUAUAUUUGAAUGAUAUCUUGCCCAUCCUUUUCUUCAUUACAUUUCCAUUUUUCGACAAUAUUUGUACAUUAAACUACUCUUCCUGUGAAUCAGCCAUUUGAGUGAGUGAUGGGAAAAUCUGGAGUGCAAAGAAGGUCUUUAGAGCAGACAGUGCUACCCGUCGAAGCAGAUCUCUUGCUGGGUCCCGAUAGCUCCUCAGAGAUGGAUUCACAGAGAGAUGCCCAGUCCUUUUCUUUAUAUUAAUCUCCAUUAUCUUCCUCUGCCAACAAACUCUUUCUUUACAACUAACCCCUGUGUUCUGUCACUAUUUGCUGAGAGAAGUUCCUGUGUACCCGUGUGCUUGAUGAGUAUGAGAUCAUACUCAUUCUUGCUAUUGUUGUUGAUUUUGUAGAAGUAGCAAAUGAUGGAUGUGCUGAUGAGAAUGAUGAACAGUAGGAGUAGCUCUACGGGUUGGGAAUAAAUAAAGAAGUUGCUUGUAUCAUAACCUUUGUAAUAGCUAGUAAUGAAUAAAGUUGGCUCUUGUGCAUACUGGAAAAUAAUUUGUUUACUAGCCUAACAUGCUUAUAAAUUCGAGAUUUAUAAGCAUGUGGCGAUUGUCACGGCUAAGACUCACGCACUUUAACUGUCACGCCCCGAGACCGGGCCUAGGCGAGACAGCCGCCGCGCACCUAUAGACCAGAGGCCUAUAGUCACGCAAGGCAUGAUAAAGCAGGCAUAAACCAGAAGUGGAUCACAAAAGCUAAUAUAUUUACUAUACAAAUUCCUUGACAUCUACAAAUAGUUGAGUAAAGACAUCAUAUUCUCUAGUCGCUUCCCACCCGCUGGUUAAGCCUAGUCUUGGAUGAAGACAUCUUCUGAACAUACAUAAGUUGAACAUACUUAAGUUACCUCGUUCGCAUCUAAAAAAACAGAGGAAGCAAGGGUGAGUAUGACAAAUCAUACUCAGCAAGCAGAUACUUCACUAUUCAACAAGGAGCGAUGCUAUGAUGGUGUAGAUCAACAGACGAAAUGAACAAGGAAAUUAUUGGCAUCACACAUGACCGCAAGCUUCCCAACCCGGGAGUCACAGGGGUGAAAUUUCACACUUUUACGCUCUUAAGAGGGGUACUCCGACGUCGACAGUCUCGACUAGAACCACACAGGUUCCAGAAGAGCAGAGCUCUUUUACCCACUAAGACCCGGACACCUGGACCUACUGAUGUCGGUCGCUCCUGCGGAUCCAUCACCGACACGUUCCCGAACGAGGUCUGUCCUUAGCAGAGAACCCAGACAGUCCCAUACCUGAACUGUGACCAGUACAAUACGUUUGCCGUCGUGACACCAAUAUAGAUGGAUGUGUGUUUGAAUCAACAUUAGGACCACUGAAGUAUCGGUCAAAGACAAUACACUCAUGGCUUUUCAUGAGUUCCUCCAAAAUACUCUGGUUCCAUCAACAAAUGGAUUAUGAGGAAAACACAUCCCUCUUUCAAGGAUCAACAGAGGAUCAACAAAGAUCAAGGUGCAAUGAUAUUACCAGAUAAUCAAGCAAGACAACAACAAAGAGGGAUCAGGGAGUUUAGCAAAGCAGCUACUUGCCUCAGAUAAUAUGAUUUCUCCUUUAGAAUAAUAUUUUGCAAGAAGAUGAAACUCCAUCAUCUUUGUAUAAAAUCUGACGAACACACAUAUACUCAUAUUUCUUCUGAUGUAUGGCUCGGCUCUUCCCUCCAGCAGCACCUAAACGCUCUAUUCUUCUUCAAAUGUGGAUGCAUGCAUGAAUUCUUCAUCUCUCUUCUUUAUCUUUCUGGUGUCUUUCUUUCUCUCAGGCUCUCUCCUCCAGUGUCUAUGUCUUUCUCUCAGAGCUGUGCUUUGAGCAGCGUGACCCACAACUAUUUAUAGGAGGCGAGCGCCCGUGCAAGUCUAAAAUAU
rnacentral:lncRNA from 1 species